rnacentral:rRNA from 1 species
GUGAGUAGUUCAGAGUUUGAUCCUGGCUCAGGACGAACGCUGGCGGCGUGCCUAACACAUGCAAGUCGAACGGGGUAAUCCUUCGGGGUUACUUAGUGGCGAACGGGUGAGUAACGCGUGAGAAACCUGCCUUUCAGUGGGGGACAACAGUUGGAAACGACUGCUAAUACCGCAUAAUGUUAUUUGAGGGCAUCCUCGAAUAACCAAAGCUUUAUGUGCUGAAAGAUGGUCUCGCGUCUGAUUAGCUAGUUGGUGAGGUAACGGCUCACCAAGGCGACGAUCAGUAGCCGGUCUGAGAGGAUGAACGGCCACAUUGGGACUGAGAUACGGCCCAG